UACUGCAAUUGAUUGUACAGAAGCAGAUGCAGAUUCAAAGGUCGUCGGCCCCUUCUUCCUCUUCAUGCGCUAUAUCUGGGCAAUUUUUCAAUUGCUUGUAUAACAGAUAAUAUAGUUUGUAUCUGUGAUAUCUGUCACCGAUGGAGGAUAUUCACAUUCUCACCGAAAACAAGACGAUCAAAGUAAUUCCUGGAUCUGGCAUACAGAACAAAGUUUUAAAUGCAUUAGUUACUGUAUAUCAGAUACUAAUAAUUACAAAAAUUU